AUUGAACGCUGGCGGCAUGCCUUACACAUGCAAGUCGAACGGCAGCACGGGUGCUUGCACCUGGUGGCGAGUGGCGAACGGGUGAGUAAUACAUCGGAACAUGUCCUGUAGUGGGGGAUAGCCCGGCGAAAGCCGGAUUAAUACCGCAUACGAUCUACGGAUGAAAGCGGGGGACCUUCGGGCCUCGCGCUAUAGGGUUGGCCGAUGGCUGAUUAGCUAGUUGGUGGGGUAUAGGCCUACCAAGGCGACGAUCAGUAGCUGGUCUGAGAGGACGACCAGCCACACUGGGACUGAGACACGGCCCAGACUCCGACGGGAGGCAGCAGUGGGGAAUUUUGGACAAUGGGCGAAGGCAUGAUCCAGCAAUGCCGCGUGUGUGUGAAGGCCUUCGGGUUGUAAAGCACUUUUGUCCGGAAAGAAAUCCUUGGCCCUAAUACGGUCGGGGGAGGACGGUACCGGAAGAAUAAGCACCGGCUAACUACGU
rnacentral:rRNA from 1 species